rnacentral:tRNA from 1 species
ACCUGGCUGGCUCAGUCAGUAGAGCAUGUGACUCUUGAUCUCAGAGUGGUGAGUUCGAGCCCCAUGUUGGGUA